rnacentral:ribozyme from 1 species
UAUGAUGCACCCACACAUCCUUUUGCUGAAAUACACAAUGGCACAAGAAAAGGGCGCACUGACAAGCCUUUUCACGUCGUCUCCCCCCCUUCCCUCUUCCCCUCCCCCCCCCCAGGUCAGUUG